AUUGAACGCUGGCGGCAUGCUUUACACAUGCAAGUCGGACGGCAGCACAGAGAAACUUGCUUCUUGGGUGGCGCGUGGCGCACGGGGGAGUAACAUAUCUGGACGUAUCGAUCAGUGGGGGAUAACUAGUCGAAAGAUUAACUAAUACCGCGUAUCUUCUGUGGGAGAAAACAGGGGACCAUUUGGCCUCUCGCUGUUUGAACGGCCGAUAUCUGAUUAGCUAGUUGGGGGGGUAAAGGCCCACCAAGGCGACGAUCAGUAGCGGGUCUGAGAGGAUGAUCCGCCACACUGGGACUGAGACACGGCCCAGACUCCUACGGGAGGCAGCAGUGGGGAAUUUUGGACAAUGGGCGCAAGCCUGAUCCAGCCAUGCCGCGUGUCUGAAGAAGGCCUUCGGGUUGUAAAGGACUUUUGUCAGGGAAGAAAAGGGCGGGGUUAAUACCCCUGUGUGAUGACGGUACCUGAAGAAUAAGCACCGGCUAACUACGUG
rnacentral:rRNA from 1 species